rnacentral:rRNA from 1 species
UAGGGAAUAUUGCACAAUGGAGGAAACUCUGAUGCAGCAACGCCGCGUGAGUGACGAAGGUCUUCGGGUCGUAAAGCUCUGUUGUACGGGAAGAAAAAAAUGACGGUACCGUAUAAGAAAGGACCGGCCAACUUCGUGCCAGCAGCCGCGGUAAGACGAGGGGUCCAAGCGUUGUUCGGAAUCACUGGGCGUAAAGCGCAUGUAGGUGGCUCAAUAAGUCUGUUGUGAAAGCCCUGGGCUCAACCCAGGAAGUGCAGCAGAUACUGUUAAGCUUGAGUAUGGGAGAGGAUAGUAGAAUUCCAGGUGUAGUGGUGAAAUACGUAGAUAUCUGGAGGAAUACCUGUGGCGAAGGCGGCUAUCUGGCCCAAUACUGACACUGAGAUGCGAAAGCGUGGGGAUCAAACAG